rnacentral:rRNA from 1 species
UGCGGAAUUUUAGAUAAUGGAGGGAACUCUGAUCUAGCGACGCCGCGUGCAGGAAGAAGGUCUUCGGAUUGUAAACUGCUGUGGUAAGGGAAAAAUGCUAUGUAGAGUGGAAAGCUACAUAGAGGGAUGGUACCUUACUAGAAAGCCCCGGCUAACUACGUGCCAGCAGCCGCGGUAAUACGUAGGGGGCGAGCGUUACCCGGAAUCACUGGGCGUAAAGGGAGCGUAGGUGGCCUAACAUGUCAACUGUGAAAACCCGGAGCUCAACUCCGGACUUGCAGUUGAAACUGGUAGGCUUGAGGACGGUAGAGGAAGACGGAACUGCCAGUGUAGGGGUAAAAUCCUUAGAUAUUGGCAGGAACGCCGGUGACGAAGGUGGUUUUCUGGGCCGGUUCUGACACU